UACACACGUAAAAACGCACCAGUUGUAACAAACCUGCAGCAGACUUGUAGCAAUGCUGUUCCAACAACUUGUCAACAGGAUGUGUUCGCACUGCUUGUUCCCAGCUUGUUGACAAGUUGUCAACGGCUUGUUGACAACUUGCUGCAAGGUUGCUGAGCUCAACAGACUUGUUACAAGUUGAUCCAACAAGUUGUUAUCGUCCUGCAAUUCAACAAUUUAUCAACAAGUUGUGAGUGACAACCUUGUAGCAACUUGAUAAAAUAACA
rnacentral:lncRNA from 1 species